rnacentral:rRNA from 1 species
CAGUCGCCACGGUAAUACGAAGGGGACUAGCGUUGCUCGGAAUGACUGGGCGUAAAGGGCGCGUAGGCGGCAUAUACAGUCAGGCGUGAAAUUCCCGGGCUUAACCUGGGGGCUGCGUUUGAUACGUAUGGGCUAGAGUGGGGAAGAGGGUUGUGGAAUUCCCAGUGUAGAGGUGAAAUUCGUAGAUAUUGGGAAGAACACCGGUGGCGAAGGCGGCAACCUGGUCCUUGACUGACGCUGAGGCGCGAAAGCGUGGGGAGCAAACAGGAUUAGAUACCCCAGUAGUCCCUGUCUCUUAUAC